UACGUAGGUGGCAAGCGUUGUCCGGAAUCAUUGGGCGUAAAGCGCGCGUAGGUGGCCAUUUAAGUCCGCUGUGAAAGUCAAAGGCUCAACCUUUGAAAGCCGGUGGAUACUGGAUGGCUAGAGUACGGAAGAGGCGAGUGGAAUUCCUGGUGUAGCGGUGGAAUGCGCAGAUAUCAGGAGGAACACCAAUAGCGAAGGCAGCUCGCUGGGACGGUACUGACGCUAAGGCGCGAAAGCGUGGGGAGCGAACAGG
rnacentral:rRNA from 1 species